UUCCCGCAGGUGAGCGAUUUGGUGAACUCUUCUGAGAUAUUGAAGGCCAUUAAAGAGGGAUUUGAGGUGAGAUUGAAGAAGGAUAGCGGCGGAUGUGGAAUUUGUGAAGAGUCCAACGGCGUUUGCGGUUACGAUUGGAGUUUGAAUCAGACGACUUGCUAUUGUCGCCACGGUGCUUAUAAUGAUAACGGAGCUUGUCAGAGUACGCCGGCCGGUGGAAGUCCGUCGUCUUCUCCAGGUGGGAGUGAUGACUCCAACAACACAUCCCUGAUUAUAGGCCUUUCUGUUGGAGGGGCAGCUGUAUUAGGCUUGUGCUUGGGAUGCUGUGUCUUCUGCAUUAAACGACGAAAGAAAACGCAUGUCCUGAAGUUGAAAACCCAAGAUCUUCCUUCGCCU